rnacentral:lncRNA from 1 species
CAGUGAGAUGCUACUUUGCCAACCUCUUCUAUCUACUAAAUGCUAAAAUCCAGUGGCUUUUCUCUUGGAUCCAUAGCCAAUGCUAGCAGUGACUUGAGUGUAGCUCCAACAGGAGUCCAGCAUAGAGAGAUCUCUGAUAUAAUGAGACAUCUGUCAGUGGCUUCUCACCCACAACGUCAGUAAAGGCAUAAUGGAGACAGAGGUUGCUGGGCUGUCC